CCCCUUUCUCCAGAACCUCCGUCUUUCCUCCCGAGCUCCACGCCGGCCGCCUGCUCCAGCUCCGGCGAAAUCGCCGGAUCCGGGGCCUCCCUCUCAUCGCCUUCCUUCUCUCGCUCCCGAUAGCAGACGGUCAAGGAGGGCCGCCGCCGCUGCUGCUCCAUUUCUGCCGCGUCAGCGGCGCUCGGCCUUAGGCCGCGCCGCCCUGGCCUCUCCGUCAACCAUCAAUUGCCAGCCACCUCGCGCUCCCCACCCUCUUCUCCCUUGCGUCAUCUGCAGCGGACGGCCGAGGAAGGUUGCCGCCGCCGCUGCUGUUUUCGCAGCGGGCAGCGCGCCUGGCCUCCGGCCGCGCCACCGCCAUCCUCCAGCGCUCCCUCUCACGGCCCAGCCCGCUCCAUCACUUCUCCCUCUGCGUGUGGUGGUCAGCCACCUAGGCGGCGACUCCACCACAGCAGUGUUGCUGCCAGCCGACUCCCCUUUCUUCCUCGCGGCCGGCCGAGCAACGGCGUUCUGAAAUUCGCCGUGCCGCCGCCGUCCUCAUCACCGGGCAGAAGACCCUCUUCUUCCCUCGACUCCCACAUUCCAGACCAAGAGGAAGAAGGAAAGAAAGAUCGAACUUGCAGAGUUAAACAAGGUAUGUUCUUGAAGAAUGAUGGGAAUUGGUUCACGAGAAAGAAAGCAGGAAAGACGUCAAGUUUGGUGUUCG
rnacentral:lncRNA from 1 species